UUUUUUUUAUUAAAGUAUUUUGGGGAUGCCUUGACUAUAUAUCAUGAAUGGGCGUUAAAUUAUGCGAAAAGUUGUAUCUGAGACAAACUGUGAGAGAGGUACAAAUACCCAUCGUGGAAAACCACAUUAAGAUUCACACAAAGGGAAUUGAAACAUCUUAGUACCUUUAGGAAAAGAAAUCAACCGAGAUUCCGUGAGUAUUGGCGAAAGAAAACGGAGCAGGCCGUAUAUAUACGUUUGUGCAAAACAUGUCUGGGAAGCAUGACCAAAGAAGGUAAAAGUCCUGUAUGAUAAAAACGUAUAUAUCAAAAAAGUAAAACAUUUUAAUUUGUUUGAAGAUAGGAGAACCACCUUCUAAGCCUGAAUAUGAUAUAUAGAUCGAUAGUGUACAAGUACUGUGAAGGAAAGGUGAAAAGAACCCUUUAUAACAGGGAGUGAAAAGAUCUGAAACAAAAUACUGACAAGCAAUUGGAGCUUAGCUUUUAUUUUUAAAUAAAACAUAGUGACAGUGUACCUUUUGCAUAAUGGGUCAGCGACUAAAUGAAACAAGUAUGCGUAAGCAGUGAUGUGGACGCAGAGCAAAAGCAAGUCGACAAUGGCAUGAUAUUUGGUUCAUUUGACCCGAAACUAAGUGAUCUUAUCUUGAACAGGUUGAAGAAAGCGUAAUGUCUUUUGGAGGACCGAACCGACGUCUGUAGCAAUAGACGCGGAUGAUUUGAGAUAAGGGGUGAAAGGCCAAUCAAACUUAGAAAUAGCUGGUUCUUCGCGAAAUAUAUUGAGGUAUAGCGUACAUAGAAUUUCUGUUACUGGGGGUAGAGCACUCAUUGAGCUAUGGGGGUCCAAAACCUUACUGCUCUCAAGGAAACUCCGAAUACCAUAUAACAUGAUGUGUGUGCAGUCAGACAUAUAGUGCUAAGGUUAUAUGUCGAAAGGGAAACAGCCCAGCCCAGCCGCUAAGGUCCCUAAGCUUUCUGUGAGUGGGAAAAGGAGUGAAACAACGUUGACAACUAGGAGGUUGGCUUGGAAGCAGCCAUUCUAUCAUGAAAGCGUAAUAGCUCACUAGUCGAGUUGUUUUGCACUGAAAAUGUAUCGGGGCUGAACAGAAACACCGACGCGCUGGUUUUAUAUUUUAAAAGGUAGCGAAGCGUUUUGUACGCCAAAGAAGUAUUUUCAGAAGAAAAUACUGAGGUAUCAAAAGUGACUAUGCUGACAUGAGUAACGAAAAUCAUGUACAAUCAUGAUCACCGUAUGUUCAAGGGUUUCUGCGUCCUGGUUUACAGCGCAGAGUUAUGUCCGGUCCCUAAGAGACACACGCACUCGUGUGCUUAAUGGAUGUCAUUUAUGUAAGACGGUACGUACUUCUAAAAACUACAAUUGGAUAUGGUGUAUAGUAAGUAGGUAUCCAGGAAAAUUCAUAAAUAUAUUGACCGUACCCUAAACCGACACAGGUGAACGAGUCGAAUAGACUCAGGUGAUGAGNAGAACCACAUUGAAGGAACUCGGCAAAAUAUUCCCGUACCUUAGGAAGAAGGGAAGCCAAAAAUGGUGACACAAAAAUGGGGGUGACGACUUUUUACUAAAAAAUUAGGACUCUGCUAAAUGGUAACAUGACGUAUAGGGUCUGACGUCUGCCCGGUGCUAGAAGUAUAAAAGGAGUGUUGAAAGAUACGAAUGGAAAGCCUAGUAAACGGCGGUUGUAACUAUAACAAUCAUAAAGUAGCGAAAUUCAUUGCCAGCUAAUUCCUGGCCUGCAUGAAAGACGUAACGAUUGCCCCACUGUCUCCAGUGUGGACUCAGU
rnacentral:rRNA from 1 species